rnacentral:rRNA from 1 species
CGUAGGGUGCAAGCGUUAAUCGAAAUUACUGGGCGUAAAGCGUGCGCAGGCGGUGAUGUAAGACAGUUGUGAAAUCCCCGGGCUCAACCUGGGAACUGCAUCUGUGACUGCAUUGCUGGAGUACGGCAGAGGGGGAUGGAAUUCCGCGUGUAGCAGUGAAAUGCGUAGAUAUGCGGAGGAACACCGAUGGCGAAGGCAAUCCCCUGGGCCUGUACUGACGCUCAUGCACGAAAGCGUGGGGAGCAAACAGGAUUAGAUACCCUGGUAGUCCACGCCCUAAACGAUGUCAACUGGUUGUUGGGUCUUCACUGACUCAGUAACGAAGCUAACGCGUGAAGUUGACCGCCUGGGGAGUACGGCCGCAAGGUUG